GAUGAACGCUGGCGGCGUGCCUAAUACAUGCAAGUCGAGCGAACAGACGAGGAGCUUGCUCCUCUGACGUUAGCGGCGGACGGGUGAGUAACACGUGGAUAACCUACCUAUAAGACUGGGAUAACUUCGGGAAACCGGAGCUAAUACCGGAUAAUAUAUUGAACCGCAUGGUUCAAUAGUGAAAGACGGUUUUGCUGUCACUUAUAGAUGGAUCCGCGCCGCAUUAGCUAGUUGGUAAGGUAACGGCCUACCAAGGCGACGAUGCGUAGCCGACCUGAGAGGGUGAUCGGCCACACUGGAACUGAGACACGGUCCAGACUCCUACGGGAGGCAGCAGUAGGGAAUCUUCCGCAAUGGGCGAAAGCCUGACGGAGCAACGCCGCGUGAGUGAUGAAGGUCUUCGGAUCGUAAAGCUCUGUUAUUAGGGAAGAACAAAUGUGUAAGUAACUAUGCACGUCUUGACGGUACCUAAUCAGAAAGCCACGGCUAACUACGUG
rnacentral:rRNA from 1 species